CCUUAAGGAACGCAGACUAGGAAUGCCGCAUCCUGUGGCAACGUCUGCAUGGCCAGCUUCCUGGGGG
rfam:Bacillus sp. NRRL B-14911 1099999053133, whole genome shotgun sequence.